rnacentral:rRNA from 1 species
UCGCGUCCAAUUAGCUAGUUGGUGAGGUAACGGCCCACCAAGGCGACGAUUGGUAGCCGGACUGAGAGGUUGAACGGCCACAUUGGGACUGAGACACGGCCCARACUCCUACGGGAGGCAGCAGUGGGGGAUAUUGCACAAUGGGGGAAACCCUGAUGCAGCGACGCCGCGUGGAGGAAGAAGGUUUUCGGAUUGUAAACUCCUGUCGUAAGGGACGAUAAUGACGGUACCUUACAAGAAAGCCACGGCUAACUACGUGCCAGCAGCCGCGGUAAAACGUASGUGGCAAGCGUUGUCCGGAAUUACUGGGUGUAAAGGGAGCGCAGGCGGGCUGUCAAGUUGGAAGUGAAAUCUAUGGGCUCAACCCAUAAAUUGCUUUCAAAACUGAUGGUCUUGAGUAGUGCAGAGGUAGGCGGAAUUCCCGGUGUAGCGGUGGAAUGCGUAGAUAUCGGGAGGAACACCAGUGGCGAAGGCGGCCUACUGGGCACCAACUGACGCUGAGGCUCGAAAGCAUGGGUAGCAAACAGGAUUAGAUACCCUGGUAGUCCAUGCCGUAAACGAUGAUUACUAGGUGUUGGAGGAUUGACCCCUUCAGUGCCGCAGUUAACACAAUAAGUAAUCCMCCUGGGGAGUACGACCGCAAGGUUGAAACUCAAAGGAAUUGACGGGGGCCCGCACAAGCAGUGGAGUAUGUGGUUUAAUUCGAAGCAACGCGAAGAACCUUACCAGGUCUUGACAUCCGAUGCAUAGCAUAGAGAUAUGUGAAGUCCUUCGGGACAUCGAGACAGGUGGUGCAUGGUUGUCGUCAGCUCGUGUCGUGAGAUGUUGGGUUAAGUCCCGCAACGAGCGCAACCCUUAUUGCCAGUUACUACGCAAGAGGACUCUGGCGAGACUGCCGUUGACAAAACGGAGGAAGGUGGGGAUGACGUCAAAUCAUCAUGCCCUUUAUGACCUGGGCUACACACGUACUACAAUGGCGUUUAACAAAGAGAAGCGAAGCCGCGAGGCGGAGCAAAACUCAAAAACAACGUCUCAGUUCAGAUUGCAGGCUGCAACUCGCCUGCAUGAAGUCGGA